rnacentral:lncRNA from 1 species
UAAAAUUUAUUUUAUUAUAUUUUAAAUUUUUAUCUUUUAUUUUUUGUAAGUAGAUGCUAGGAUCUAGUUAGUAGAUCUUAGUAUCAAUUAAUUUUAUGCACUUUAAAUUUUUAUUAUUUAUUUUUAUUAUAAAUAAAAGCUAGAAUCUAAAUAGUAGAUCUUAGUAUCUGAUUUAUUUUUUAUAUUUUUAAUUUUUAUUUUUUGACUUAAAUUAUUUUUUAA